CAUCCUGGAUGUAGCAGCCAUCCUGGGAGAGCCAGUAAUGCUCAGAGCCCAGACUUGCCCUGCUGGAUCUCAGUCUUCACUGGAGCAGGGGCUGCCAAGGGCCGACCCCCCACGCCUGGCUGCUUCGGGCCUGCCUGACUAGGCAGAUGCGCAGCCACUCCAUCGGAAUGGAGGAUCUGGCUCAGGGGAGGACACCACCACACCAUGUGGACCUGGCUGGGAGCCUGAGGGCGGAGAAGGAGUAUGAAAAGAGAGGAAGACAGCUGCUGGACAUGGAAACUUUUAAAUGCAUAAUGCAGCAGAGUAUGAGGUCACAAAAUAAAAAUACUGAACAAAUAGAACAACUUUUCAUGAAAAUAGACUAUGAAUCAAUGGGCAGAAUUCAAUGGGAUGGCUUCUGCACGUAUUUGCAGCUAGAGUAUUCAGAGCAAGUGGAUGCUUUGGCCCAAGAGAAAGAGGUUUCCUUCCAGCUGCCUGCUGCGCUGCAAGGGCUGUCAUAUGGGGGUCCCGUGCUGCGCAUUCUCUCUAUGCCUGACGACACCGUAAUCAUGAUCAGAGAAGAUGGAGCGAUUUAUUUCUGGUCCCUGCAGCUGAAGUUGAAAAGAAGAAAGAGAGUUUUUGACAAGUCCAUGAGUUGGAAGCCCAGGUCGAUGACAGAUGUCAUCGGCAUGCCACAGUACAACAAACUGAUCAUAGGGACUAGAAACCGUGAAAUCCAGCUAUGUGAAUUCUCCAACUGGGAGCCUUACUGUCAGAUCAGUGGCUUAGAAGGUGUUCCUCUGAAACUGGACUACUGGGAUGCAUGA
rnacentral:lncRNA from 12 species